rnacentral:snoRNA from 1 species
AACCAAAGUGUUGAGUUCAGUUCAGGGUGUGCCCCUGUUCUGAUAAUUAAGCUUUGGGACAGCAAGUGACUGGGAAGUGCACCAUGGUGACUGAAAGUUUGUUUUAUGCCACUUGUGUUUCUCAGCCUACAAAC